rnacentral:rRNA from 1 species
GACGAACGCUGGCGGCGUGCUUAACACAUGCAAGUCGAACGAUGAAGCGGUGCUUGCACCGUGGAUUAGUGGCGAACGGGUGAGUAAUACGUGAGUGACCUACCUUUGACUCUGGGAUAAGCCUGGGAAACUGGGUCUAAUACCGGAUACGACCAAUCUCUGAAUGGGGUGUUGGUGGAAAGCGUUAUGGAGUGGUUUUAGAUGGGCUCACGGCCUAUCAGCUUGUUGGUGAGGUAAUGGCUUACCAAGGCGACGACGGGUAGCCGGCCUGAGAGGGUGACCGGCCACACUGGGACUGAGACACGGCCCAGACUCCUACGGGAGGCAGCAGUGGGGAAUAUUGCACAAUGGGCGCAAGCCUGAUGCAGCGACGCCGCGUGAGGGAUGACGGCCUUCGGGUUGUAAACCUCUGUUAGCAUCGAAGAAGCGAAAGUGACGGUAGGUGCAGAGAAAGCGCCGGCUAACUACGUG